AUCGUCUUUAGGACCCAGCAGAGACAUUAAACCGGAGUCGCGUCCAGUCUUGUUGAAGGAAGUUGCUAGUUUUCCCAAGAAGUACGGAAUCCGAGCAUUAUAUUACUAUUGGUUAUUAUUCGCCUCUAGAGAGCGCUGAAUGGAUCGCAACGUGAGAGAGUUACCCUGGACAAGAGCAGAGCAGAAGCUUGCUACAUCAUCUUUUACCAGAAGAGGAUUCAUUAUCCAUUUCAAGGUUGCUCUGGAAAGAGCGAGCUUUGGACCUCCUUGAUAAUCUUGUUGAGAG